UACGUAGGGUGCAAGCGUUAAUCGGAAUUACUGGGCGUAAAGCGUGCGCAGGCGGUUUUGUAAGUCUGUCGUGAAAGCCCCGGGCUCAACCUGGGAAUGGCAUUGGAAACUGGCUUGCUCGAGUGCGGCAGAGGGGGGUGGAAUUCCGCGUGUAGCAGUGAAAUGCGUAGAGAUGCGGAGGAACACCGAUGGCGAAGGCAGCCCCCUGGGUCGACACUGACGCUCAGGCACGAAAGCGUGGGGAGCAAACAGG
rnacentral:rRNA from 1 species